rnacentral:rRNA from 1 species
UGUCAGCAGCCGCGGUAAUUCAGAGACGGCAAGCGUUGUUCGGAUUCACUGGGCGUAAAGGGUCCGCAGGUGGCGAAGCAAGUCUGACGUGAAAUCCCGCGGCCUAACCGCGGAACUGCGUCGGAUACUGCCUUGCUAGAGGACGGCAGAGGAGACUGGAAUUCACGGUGUAGCGGUGAAAUGCGUAGAUAUCGUGAGGAACACCGGUGGCGAAGGCGAGUCUCUGGACCGUUCCUGACACUCAGGGACGAAAGCGUGGGGAGCAAACGGGAUUAGAUACCCCGGUAGUCCACGCCCUAAACCGUGCUUACUUGGUGUGGGAGGAUUCGACCCCUUCCGUGCCGGAGCUAACGCGUUAAGUAAGCCGCCUGGGGAGUACGGCCGCAAGGUUAAAACUCAAAGGAUUGGCGG